rnacentral:rRNA from 1 species
AGUGAACGCUGGCGGUAGGCCUAACACAUGCAAGUCGAACGGCAGCACAGUAAGAGCUUGCUCUUACGGGUGGCGAGUGGCGGACGGGUGAGGAAUACAUCGGAAUCUACUUUUUCGUGGGGGAUAACGUAGGGAAACUUACGCUAAUACCGCAUACGACCUACGGGUGAAAGCAGGGGAUCUUCGGACCUUGCGCGAUUGAAUGAGCCGAUGUCGGAUUAGCUAGUUGGCGGGGUAAAGGCCCACCAAGGCGACGAUCCGUAGCUGGUCUGAGAGGAUGAUCAGCCACACUGGAACUGAGACACGGUCCAGACCCCUAAGGGAGGCAGCAGUGGGGAAUAUUGGACAAUGGGCGCAAGCCUGAUCCAGCCAUACCGCGUGGGUGAAGAAGGCCUUCGGGUUGUAAAGCCCUUUUGUUGGGAAAGAAAAGCAGCAGGUUAAUACCCCGCUGUUCUGACGGUACCCAAAGAAUAAGCACCGGCUAACUUCGUG